GGCGGAGCCGGGAUUAGAACCCAUGACCUCGGACUCCCAAGCCCGUGCUCUUGCCACCGCUUUCUUCUUUGACCGAAGAACACCUUUCAGCAACGAGUUAAGAGAUUGCUAUUUUGUUCUUGGGAACUGAGUCCUUCUCCCUUCACUAGUGCCUCCAGAAGAUAUGACAGGAGCUCAACAGCACCUGCUUCAGUUCUGAAUCCCCAGGGGAGUCCUCCUGUUACUGCAUGGAAUCGGGAUGGGGAGUGGGGAAGGGACAGGGAGAAAAACACUUCCUUCUCUGUCCCCAUAGAUGUUUAGCUUUGGAGAUCUCCCUCCGAACCGUCUCCCUCUGACCCCCAAGAAUGGAUGACCUUCCUGCCGAGGGGGUUUGGAGGCUGGCGACGGACGCCCGAGAGGAGACCAGCUGCAUAAAGAUCCGAGGAUGGCGGAGGAGGUCCAGAAGGCUGCGUUGGAGUUGAGUUGUUUUCAGGCUCCUCACCGCUCAGGCAGACUGGAAACACGUUGAGGGCAAGGAUCACAUCUACCAACUCUACUGGAUUGGAUUCUCCCAAACGCUUAGUCCGGUGAACAGAAGUGCCAGGGUGCCGAGAUGACCACUGAUGAUCUAACUGGGGUCCAGAAGCGAGAGUCCGGAGUGCUACAUUCUUCCCAAGAUGGUGGUUGCACAUCUGUGGAUCCCCCUCCCCAUCUAUGUCUAAUCAUGUGACCAAUCAGACCCCCAACACUUGAACCUGUCUGCUCAAGCUUGCUAGAGCCUGACAUCCCUCUGCCGUCCUUCUCUUCCUCUUUCGAAUGUCUGGAGCUGGACAAGCUGGAGUUAAAAGUCCAAUUUUUCGUU